UGUCUGCAUUCGUUACUGCUUGUUGCCCUACUGUGGCGCUCGAGCGCGGGUGUUCGGCCGCUUUAUGAGUUGCGUCACUUUACUGCCGUCGAAUCGACAUGCCUAGGCUUCAACACGACUUUCGGCAUCUCGUUAGCCUUGAAUCCAUUUAAGCAGGUAUGAUGUUGAUGGCAUAGACCUGCUUAUAGACGGAAAUGUGUUUAAGUAGAGCUUUAUUCAACCAACGGAUGGAUAGCCAGAAAUCCUGAGAUGCACACAUUAUUUUGUGCGCCGCCUUACGGAUAGGCUAAUUUCCGUGCAUGAAGGCGUGUCUUUACAUCAGUGCACCACCCCGUGUUAGCCUGAUUUUCACAAAUGCCUCCCAUUUCUUUCCUUCUUAUCCAGCGCAUAUCUCUAUGCUUGCGUAGGUUGAAGCCAGAGGAAACUCUGGUGGAGGACCGUAGCGAUUCUGACGUGCAAAUCGAUCGUCAAACGUGAGUAUAGGGGCGAAAGACUAAUCGAACCGUCUAGUAGCUGGUUCCCUCCGAAGUUUCCCUCAGGAUAGCUGGCACUCAUUAGCAAAAUCAGUUUUAUCCGGUAAAGCGAAUGACUAGAGGUGCUGGGCUCGAAACGAGCUCAACCUAUUCUCAAACUUUCAAUGGGUGAGAUGUCCAACUCGCUUCAGACGCGUGCAUUGCAGCGGGUGGAGUUGGGCGUUGAAUGUGCGGGUGCCAAGUGGGCCAUUUUUGGUAAGCAGAACUGGCGCUGUGGGAUGAACCAAACGCCCGGUUAAGGUGCCUAACGCUGACGCUCAUGAGAUACCACAAAAGGUGUUGGUUAAUAUAGACAGCAGGACGGUGGCCAUGGAAGUCGGCAUCCGCUAAGGAGUGUGUAACAACUCACCUGCCGAAUUGACCAGCCCUGAAAAUGGAUGGCGCUGGAGCGUCGGACCUACACCGGGCCGUCAUCGCAAGCUGGAUUGGUGGCUGUGCGCGUUUGCGUCAUGGUCCAGGCGUGGAGUGCGAUGCUGAGUAGGAGGGUCGCCGUGGUGAGCGUGGAAGCCGCAGACGUGAGUCGUGGUGGAGCCGCCACGGGUGCAGAUCUUGGUGGUAGUAGCAAGUAUUCAAGUGAGAACCUUGAGGGCCGAGGUGGAGAAGGGUUCCAUGGGAACAGCAGUUGGCCAUGGGUCAGGCGGUCCUGAGCGAUCCGGUGACUCGGUGCAGAGUCGUGGGGUGCCUUGCAUGAGUGCGUGCGUGCGUGCGUGCGCGCAUAGGCGUGGUGUUGUAUGUUGGCAGCCCCCCGGAGCGAAAGGGAAUCGGGUUAACAUUCUCGACCCUGCUCACGGAGAUGGGUGGUGUCGGUCGGUCGGUCGGUCGGUCGGUCGGUCGGUCGGUCGGUCGUUCGUUCGUUCGACACGGGCGGCACCAUCGGGCGCGGUGACGCAAACGAACUCGGAGACGUCGGCAGGAGUUCCGGGGAGAGUUCUCUUUUCUUUGUAAGGACGGUUAUUGCCCCUGGAAUCGGGUUGUCCGGAGAUAGGGGUAUCACCUCCGUAAAGCACCACCUCUCCUGUGGUGUCCGGAAGGCUCUUGUAGGCCCUUGAAAAUCCGAGGGAGGCGGUGUUAUUUUCGUGGCAGGCCGUACCCAUAUCCGCAUCAGGUCUCCAAGGUGAAGAGCCUCUGGCACUGGAAUAAUGUAGGUAAGGGAAGUCGGCAUACUUGAUCCGUAACCUCGGGAAAAGGAUUGGCUCUGAGGGCUGAGUCAAACAGGCUGGGGAAAGAGACGGACUCGCUCAGCUUGCAACUGGCCGGUGGGCUGGCAGGCUAGCUGUUGAGCCACACACCGUGUGGGGUAUGCAGUUGCACUCGCCCGCCUGGUGGCUGGAGGUGAGUAGGGUGAACCGUGGGCGGACCCAGCUGCACGUGCGCCUCGGCUGAUUGGUCGGUUGGUGGGUGGUUGACGCUGCUGCUGCUGCUGCUGCUGCUGCCUGUCGGCGUGUAGAGCAGUGCGCGGCGUUGCUACCACGGCUGUCUGUCUGUCUGGCUGGCUGGCUGGCUGGCCGGCCGGCCGGCAUCGUCGAGUCGGGGCGUGCUUGUUUGACGCCAAACAGCCAACUCAGAACUGGCACGGACGUGGGGGAUCCGACUGUCUAAUUAAAACAAAGCAUUGCGAUGUCUGCUGAUCGGUUUUGACGCAAUGUGAUUUCUGCCCAGUGCUCUGAAUGUCAAAGUGAAGAAAUUCAACCAAGCGCGGGUAAACGGCGGGAGUAACUAUGACUCUCUUAAGGUAGCCAAAUGCCUCGUCAUCUAAUUAGUGACGCGCAUGAAUGGAUUAACGAGAUCCCUACUGUCCCUAUCUACUAUCUAGCGAAACC
rnacentral:ncRNA from 1 species